UGUACGAAAGGACUUUUUCGCUAAAGUAAUGCUUUGGCCCAGUCCUAUAAUUACACAAAUAAUGUUACAUGACGAGCUGAGUAACUCAUAAAAAGGACUG
rnacentral:rRNA from 1 species